GUGUCUUAAUUUUUCUUAUCGAUAUCAUUUCAUCUAAAAAUGCUUAAAACACUAGAUGAGGCAUAAUCUUUCGAUUUAUAUUCUUAAUAAUUAAAAAAAAAUAGCUUCACUACUGAGAUCAUGACCUGAACAAUCAAUUAUGAUGCCUUUUUGCAGAUAUGGAUCAUCCUCGGAUCUCCAAACAAGAGCCAGUUCUUUUAAGUCAUUCCCCUUUCAAUCUUCUUCUGGUUCCCAUGGUAGGAUGGUAGGAUGAUCUUGAUGUCAUUCCUGUUGCUCCUCUGUUUAAUGCAACUGUCAGGUACCACAUUGGUAUAGCUUUCACAAGCAGCUGGCUCUGCACUGGAGUUUCUCCCUGUUUUCUUCCACAUAUUACCAAUUCCUAUCCCAUUUUUUAUGAAUGAUUCUGAGUUGAAUUAAAGAAAUCGUUUUGAUAUUUCUCCGUUCUUCUUUUCAGGUUUUAAUUAUAGCUGCUUCAACAAAUAAAUCAGUCCAAAUGGACGACUACUUGUUCUUUAUUCUUCUGCCUCUCUUCCCUUACUGCUUCAGCAUCAGCAAAGCAUAAUUUUGUUCUUUCUUCUUUGUUUUAUUACUUUUAUAUCACUAAUCGGAGGCCUUAUUACCUUAACAGUGCUAUAGCUGUUUUGCAAUUAUUAUUACCUUAUCAGUGCAUCAUUGUAUUCAAUCCAAAACAAGGCGGCGAAGAUUUAUAAUAAACAUUAUCUGAAUACAGUUUCUAACACAGUAUGAUUUUGAUUUCAUAUUAUAUUUUUUAAUUAAUAUCUUCAAUUUUCUUUUUUAAAUAAUU
rnacentral:lncRNA from 1 species